rnacentral:rRNA from 1 species
AUUGAACGCUGGCGGCAGGCCUAACACAUGCAAGUCGAGCGAGCGGCGGACGGGUGAGUAAUGUCUGGGAAACCGCCUGAUGGAGGGGGAUAACUACUGGAAACGGUAUCUAAUACCGCAUACCAUCGGAUGUGCCCAGAUGGGAUUAGCUAGUAGGUGGGGUAAAGGCUCACCUAGGCGACGAUCCCUAGCUGGGCUGAGAGGAUGACCAGCCACACUGGGACGGAGACACGGUCCAGACUCCUACGGGAGGCAGCAGUGGGGAAUAUUGCACAAUGGGCGCAAGCCUGAUGCAGCCAUGCCGCGUGUAUGAAGAAGGCCUUCGGGUUGUAAAGUACUUUCAGCGGGGAGGCGUUACCCGCAGAAGAAGCACCGGCUAACUCCGUGCCAGCAGCCGCGGUAAUAC